GACGAACGCUGGCGGCGUGCUUAACACAUGCAAGUCGAACGGAAAGGCCCUGCUUUUGUGGGGUGCUCGAGUGGCGAACGGGUGAGUAACACGUGAGUAACCUGCCCUUGACUUUGGGAUAACUUCAGGAAACUGGGGCUAAUACCGGAUAGGAGCUCCUGCUGCAUGGUGGGGGUUGGAAAGUUUCGGCGGUUGGGGAUGGACUCGCGGCUCAUCAGCUUGUUGGUGGGGUAGUGGCAUACCAUGGCUAGGCCGGGUAGCCGGGCUGGGCGGGUCACCGGCCAAGUUGGACUGGGGAUAAGGCACGGCCUCGAAUGGGAGGCAGCGGUGGAGAGGAGAGCACAGGAGGAGGGGGGCUGGUGCGACCACGCCGCGUCGGGGAUGACAGGCAUGGGGUUGGGAACCACUUCCGCCUGUGACGAAAUGUGAGUGACGGUAAUGGGUAAAUAAGCACCGGCUAACUACGUG
rnacentral:rRNA from 1 species